rnacentral:rRNA from 1 species
UGGGGAAUUUUGGACAAUGGGCGCAAGCCUGAUCCAGCCAUGCCGCGUGCGGGAAGAAGGCCUUCGGGUUGUAAACCGCUUUUGUCAGGGAAGAAACGGUCUGCACUAAUACUGCGGAUUAAUGACGGUACCUGAAGAAGCACCGGCUAACUCUGUGCCAGCAGCCGCGGUAAUACAGAGGGUGCGAGCGUUAAUCGGAAUUACUGGGCGUAAAGCGUGCGCAGGCGGCUCCUUAAGUCAGAUGUGAAAUCCCCGGGCUUAACCUGGGAACUGCGUUUGAAACUGAGGGGCUAGAGUGUGGAAGAGGGGGGUGGAAUUCCAGGUGUAGCAGUGAAAUGCGUAGAGAUCUGGAGGAACACCGAUGGCGAAGGCAGCCCCCUGGGCUAACACUGACGCUCAUGCACGAAAGCGUGGGGAGCAAACAGGAUUAGAUACCCCGGUAGUCCCUGAGCGGGCUGGCAAGGCGCAU